GCAUGUGGUUUAAUUCGAAGCAACGCGAAGAACCUUACCUAAGCUUGACAUCCCAAUGACAUCUCCUUAAUCGGAGAGUUCCCUUCGGGGACAUUGGUGACAGGUGGUGCAUGGUUGUCGUCAGCUCGUGUCGUGAGAUGUUGGGUUAAGUCCCGCAACGAGCGCAACCCUUGUCUUUAGUUGCCAUCAUUAAGUUGGGCACUCUAGAGAGACUGCCAGGGAUAACCUGGAGGAAGGUGGGGAUGACGUCAAAUCAUCAUGCCCCUUAUGCUUAGGGCUACACACGUGCUACAAUGGGUAGUACAGAGGGUUGCCAAGCCGUAAGGUGGAGCUAAUCCCUUAAAGCUACUCUCAGUUCGGAUUGUAGGCUGAAACUCGCCUACAUGAAGCUGGAGUUACUAGUAAUCGCAGAUCAGAAUGCUGCGGUGAAUGCGUUCCCGGGUCUUGUACACACCGCCCGUCACACCACGGGAGUUGGAGACGCCCG
rnacentral:rRNA from 1 species